rnacentral:rRNA from 1 species
GGACUACUGGGGUAUCUAAUCCUGUUUGCUCCCCUAGCUUUCGUGCCUCAGCGUCAGUUUCUGUCCAGGUAGCCGCCUUCGCCACCGGUGUUCCUCCUGAUAUCUACGCAUUUCACCGCUACACCAGGAAUUCCACUACCCCCUCCAGAACUCUAGCCCGCCAGUUUUGGAUGCAGGCUCUGGGUUGAGCCCAGAGUUUUCACAUCCAACUUAACGAACCGCCUACGCACCCUUUACGCCCAGUAAUUCCGAACAACGCUGGCCCCCUACGUCUUACCGCGGCUGCUGGCAC